AGUUGUUGAGUUUUUGAUCAGUUCUUCAUUAGAUAACUAGAGAAAAACCUCUAAUAAAUCAAUUUUUAUCUCCUGUGAAAAUGAAAAUAACACUGUUACUUUUUGUAGUUUUCUCAGUGUUUAUAACUACAAAUACUCGUAGUUUAUCUGUGGACGAACAAUGGAGUAGUUUCAAGGUGUCGCAUGGCAAAUCUUACGCAAACAAAGAGGAGGAAGCAAAACGUCGUGCCAUUUUUGAGACUCAUCUUCGGGAAGUAGAAGAACAUAACAGAAAAUAUGACAAUGGAGAAGUGACUUGGAGAAUGGGGAUCAAUAGAUUCUCCGAUUUAACACCAGAAGAGAUGAAAAUUUACAACGGUGUGCGCCGGCCACCUAAAGGCGGUCUUGCUACAUUCGCAUAAUGCGUAUAAUUUUGAAAUUGAAGGAUUUUUCACAAACAAUUACCUCCGUUACAUUGUUCCACAAAGAAGUUUGUGUAUUGAAUAAAGAAUAAUUUUAAAAACUGUUA